rnacentral:rRNA from 1 species
AGUGAACGCUGGCGGUAGGCCUAACACAUGCAAGUCGAACGGCAGCACAGUAAGAGCUUGCUCUUACGGGUGGCGAGUGGCGGACGGGUGAGGAAUACAUCGGAAUCUACUUUUUCGUGGGGGAUAACGUAGGGAAACUUACGCUAAUACCGCAUACGACCUACGGGUGAAAGCAGGGGAUCUUCGGACCUUGCGCGAUUGAAUGAGCCGAUGUCGGAUUAGCUAGUUGGCGGGGUAAAGGCCCACCAAGGCGACGAUCCGUAGCUGGUCUGAGAGGAUGAUCAGGCAAAAUGGAAAUGAGAAAAGGUCCAGAAUCCUAAGGGAGGCAGCAGGGGGGAAUAUUGGACAAUGGGCGCAAGCCUGAUCCAGCCAUACCGCGUGGGUGAAGAAGGCCUUCGGGUUGUAAAGCCCUUUUGUUGGGAAAGAAAAGCAGCAGGUUAAUACCCCGCUGUUCUGACGGUACCCAAAGAAUAAGCACCGGCUAACUUCGUG